AUUUUUCAGUGAUACAAAUUGAGAACGCCAAACAACCUAAUCCUAUCCUAACUGAAACAAUGGACAAAAAUAUUUUAUUGUUACAGCGAUAAAUCCUUGAAGGACUAUCUUCUGUGCUAGCGGCAGUGAAGAAAAUUAAUUGUAAAAUCUGGAGCUUGUUUGAUUUUUCUCGUCGUUUGGGAACUAGGAAAAAUCGAUUCUGCACUGCGAAUUUGACUUGCUGCUAGCCCAGAAUGGCCCUGUAAGUUCAUUGGAUUCUUAGUUCUAGUUGUCUUGGUGAAUUUCGUUUGCAUUUUCAGGUUUAGCUGACCAAUGAGUAGGAAGUUAUUUUGCAAUAUAGAUGAAGCUAGGAAGUGUUUUUUAUUCAGUUCAUGAUACGCUUUAACUUGGCUUUUGGGGGUCUGGUGGUGUGAAACUGUGGAUUGCUAUGGAAAUCGUAACUAUGGCAAAUGGACAAAUGGGUUUAUCUUGUUUCGAAAGGAAUGGAAAUUUCACUGGCAGUUAUAGCUGGAAACCAUAUUCUGCGUGUAGGUUUUGGAAUUCUCGGCGAUCCCUUUUUGGUUUUCCAUUAAACACAACGAGUAGGAAGAAGAUUAGAGUUUUGGGUUUUGGUAUAAGAAUUAAGGCUAUUUCAAAUGGAGAUUCGGAUAAUCGGUUGGUUGGGGGUGGACUUCUUGAGAAAGAGUUUGAAUUCAAGCCGUCCUUUGAUGAGUAUUUGAAAGCUAUGGAGUCUGUUAAAACUGCUAAGGAGAAGAAGAAAGCCCUCAAAUUGAGUGGGCAUAAGUUGAAGGAUGACUUAUCAUCAUUGGGGAAAACUGAGAAGAGUUUCAAAUUGAGGUGUAAUCAAGAAAAUAUGUCCAAAGUCAUGAAAAUUGAUGAGUUAGGGGACAAUGUUGAUGGAGCCAUUGGCCAAAGUGAUGUAAAUAAUGGUGAACAUGAUUACAAGGAAAGGAAAGUUAUAGAAUCAAGUGUCAAAUUGGCCAGGAAAGAAAGCAGUGCAUAUACUAAUGUAAAGAGGAGGGAGGGAGGAAUGACAGGAGAUAGGCAGUGGUUGCGUAAUCAAACUUGUAGUACAAAUACUGAGUUGGAGGACUUGUAUCAAGGUAGGAGUCAGAACACUGAAAGUGUGCAAAAAAGCACUAUGGUAGUAGAUAGCAUUAAAAGGAGUAAAAGCACUAUUGGCAUAAAAGAAGAGGCUUCUUACGGUAAAAAUUUACCAGAAAUAUUAGAAAGGAAGGGGAAGACCAUUGAAAGAGAGGAAAUUGGUGCUAGAGGGAGUAAAAUAAGUGGUGGACUUGUGAGGAAUCAUGCACAAAUUGAUGAAAACACUUACAAGGAAAUUGUGCAGAAAAAAGGAUUUCCAAGUAGAAGCAAUCUGGCUUUCCUUAAUGAUGGUGGUGAUGAUGAUAUGGAAAUGGAAAGAGCUGCCUUCAAAAUUUUUGAGGAAUGCGAGGAUAUUACUCCUAGGCCACGAGCUUCAAAGAUGGAAAUGGAGGACAGAAUCCAGAAGCUAGCAAAGUGUCUAAAUGGUGCAGAUAUUGAUAUGCCUGAGUGGAUGUUCUCUAAGAUGAUGCGUAGCGCAAAAAUAAAGUACACAGAUCAUUCUGUAUUGAGGGUUAUCCAGAUAUUGGGUAAACUGGGAAAUUGGAGGCGAGUGCUACAAGUCAUUGAGUGGCUUCAAAUGCGUGAGCACUUUAAAUCUUAUAGGCUAAGAUACAUUUAUACAACUGCACUUAAUGUACUUGGGAAGGCACAGAGACCGGUGGAGGCCCUCAAUGUAUUUCAUGCAAUGCAGCAACAAAUGUCUUUGUAUCCUGACUUGGUAGCUUAUCAUUGUAUUGCUGUCACUCUUGGACAAGCAGGCCAUAUGGAGCAGCUUUUUGAUGUGAUUGAUAGCAUGCGAUCUCCUCCCAAGAAGAAAUUUAAAAUGGCUUUGAUUGAGAAAUGGGACCCUAGAUUGGAGCCAGAUAUAGUUGUCUUCAAUGCGGUCCUAAAUGCUUGUGUUCAGAGGAAACAAUGGGAAGGUGCAUUUUGGGUUUUACAGCAAUUAAAGCAACAGGGCCUACAACCUUCUACCGCAACUUAUGGACUAAUCAUGGAGGUUAUGUUUGCAUGUGGCAAGAACAACUUGGUUCAUGAGUUUUUUAGGAAGGUGCAGAAAUCAUCUAUUCCAAAUGCUAUAGUUUAUAAAGUUCUUGUGAAUACUCUAUGGAAAGAAGGUAGGACAGACGAGGCUGUAUUGGCUGUUCAAGACAUGGAAAGACGAGGAAUUGUGGGCUCUGCUGCUCUUUAUUAUGAUCUUGCUCGAUGUCUUUGCAGUGCUGGAAGGUGCCAAGAAGCACUAUUGCAGGUUGAUAAAAUAUCAAAGGUAGCUAAUAAGCCUCUCGUGGUAACCUACACUGGCUUAAUUCAAGCUUGCCUGGACUCUGGAAGCAUUCAAAAUGCUGUGUACAUCUUCAACCAUAUGAAGCAGUUUUGCUUUCCAAAUCUUGUUACUUGCAACAUAAUGCUGAAAGCAUAUAUUGACCAUGGAUUGUUUGAAGAAGCAAAGGGGCUUUUCCACAAAAUGUCAGAAGAUAGCAACCAUAUCAGGAGUAAAUCUGAUUACAAGUUUAGGGUAAUGCCAGAUAUCUAUACUUUUAACACCAUGCUAGAUGCAUGCAUUGCAGAGAAGAGUUGGGAUGAUUUUGAGCAUGUCUACAGAAGGAUGUUUCAGCAUGGGUACCACUUCAAUGCAAAACGUCAUCUUCGGAUGAUACUGGAAGCUUCAAGGGCUGGAAAGGGAGAACCGUUAGAAAUGACUUGGAAGCACUUGGCUCGGGCAGAUCGGACUCCUCCAUCUCCUCUCAUCAAAGAAAGAUUUUGUGUAAUGCUUGGUGAAGGCAACUCUGAUUCCGCUGUUGCCUGUAUUACCACUAAUCCUAUGGGAGAAUCGCAGGCAUUUUCAAAGAAAGCUUGGUUGAAUUUAUUCAAGGAAAAUGCUCAACGGUUUAGAAGGGAUACUCUGAUCCAACUGGUCCGUGAGGUGAGUGUGCUUGUUGCCAGAAGCAACCCACCAAAUCCUGUAUUGCAAAAUCUAUUAACAGCUUGUAAUGAUUUUCUAAAGACUCCUGUAAAAGUUCCUGAAGGCAACCUGGCAGAAAUCGUAUGUACAGUUCAAUCUUAAACGACUUCCAAAUCUUGAUGAAAUGAAUUUAUUCAUACUUCUCUAAUAUCAAAUUAUACACUUUCUCGGUGUCAUGUGUAACAUUUUCUCAUGGUUAUGAGAUCAAAAGGAACAAUGAUUUAUUUAAAUACAUCUUCUUCCCAAGUGUUUUGACCAAG
rnacentral:misc_RNA from 1 species